GCAGUGGCAAAUUCUCUAAUGACAGACUCGUCCGAACGGCGCAAAUUACAAUUCAACCGAUGUCGGAUAUUAAUAUUAAAAUAUAUUAUGUAGUUUAAGAAAAUUGACACAAUUGAUGAACACCGAGGAUGAAUUAAUUAAAAAAUAUAUGGUACAUUAGGGCAAGUAGUUAUAUAGUUACCUAUUGUUUGAGCAAGUGCUGUUAUUAUGUCACCGAAAACACUUUUUCGGAAAGACGAAUCCUUUAAAAGAGACGAUCGUCAUAGUCUGUAUCAAAAAUAAUACAGAAGGUCGAUGUAUGUUUUUCCGAAAAUAUUGCAUUUAUUACAUAAUUAGUAUUUAACUUUUAACUAUUAUAAUAAUAUAUACUUAUACUAUAUUUUACAACUCAAAAUUUAAUAACGUCUUUCUGAAAAUACUGUAAAAGAUUAAAAAUAUGUAAAAAUACACUUUCAUAGUGAAAAUAGAUAAUAAUAUCUUAAAAUUAAUCUACAUAUUUUGAAAAUGUCAUUGUAAA